rnacentral:rRNA from 1 species
AGAGUUUGAUCAUGGCUCAGAACGAACGCUGGCGGCAGGCUUAACACAUGCAAGUCGAGCGGGCGCAGCAAUGCGUCAGCGGCAGACGGGUGAGUAACGCGUGGGAACAUACCCUUCGGUUCGGAAUAGCUCAGGGAAACUUGGAUUAAUACCGGAUACGUCCGCGAGGAGAAAGAUUUAUCGCCGAAGGAUUGGCCCGC